CGCUCCAGCCGGGGGCCUACGCGCGGGAGAAAGUGGAGCUGAGAUUGUAGGAAAUUCAGAGUUAUAUUUUCCAGCCUCUCCAGCCAGAAGUCUCCACUACGUCGUGGGAAACAUAUAUCAAAUGGAGUUGAAAGGCAAAAGGAAGUGAUCAGCGCCACAAGAUGUUGAAACUAAUGGAGACCGCAGAGAUCAUGUGCUAAGGGGCCUUCCUCCUCUGGGGUGGGAGAAGGAAUGUUCUCUGGAGAAAUCUGUAUGAUAGAAUAGUGAAGGUAACUGGCCUGAACUACAGCUCUUGAGCCAUCUGGUUUCACCUUCAGGGAGCCUAGGCUACAGAAUGAGAUGCACGUAAGAAGUCUGUGACCUGGACCAGAGCAGCCCAGCUGAACACAUGCUGGAUUGGAAGAACCACCUUUGACCUGAAGACCUGUGAGUGAGAAUAAAUGCUGUUCUUCAGGAGAGAUUUGAUGAAAAAAAUUAUAUUUUGGCAUCAUCUUGACUCUUGAACUUACUCCCAGAUCAGCUACAAAUUUGUCCUAUGGCCUGAGGCACUGAAAACACGACAGAGCUCUGCAAUAAUUUCCAGUCAGACCAGACAACCUAGUUAUUCCCUUUUCCCAGGUGUCCCGGUGACCUAUAUUAUUGUCAACAACAAGGCAUUACUUCAGCUUCAAGUCUUGCAAAAUCUACUGGAUUGGAAGACCAGAUAUUCAUUUCACCAUUUAGCUGAAAAUGCACAGUACAUUUUAGAAUGAUGGGGUUUGUUUAGCUCAUCUAUCCGUCCAUCCUUACUUUUAUUCUAUUGGGUUCUUAAUUCAAAAGAAAGACUGCCACCUACUGGAUGUGUGAUACGAAGAAGAUAUUAGCAUUAAAAUAUACUCUCUCAUUAAAGGUUGAUUCAAAAUAAUUGCAGAAGAAAAUAUUCAAAAGAAUGUCCAAUUUUUACAGAUAAGUAUUGAACAUAUUUCCUUAAAUGAUUUUAUUAUCAGCAAAUACUGAAUAAAAAUUAUUUAACAAUGUCCAUCUAAUUAUUUAGAAAUAAAAUUCCUUCUUCCUGUUCUUAUUUUAAUACAUUAAAAAUUAAUUUACCUUUUUUCCAGUAAUAGGGAAUAAUUAAGUAUUCUCUUAUGUUGUCUGUAUAAAAAUAGAAUAAUGAUCUUGACAAUUUAAUACUAUUUUGUGAUACAAAAACUCAGGUUAUAGAAAUACUA
rnacentral:lncRNA from 10 species